rnacentral:rRNA from 1 species
AUUGAACGCUGGCGGCAUGCUUUACACAUGCAAGUCGAACGGCAGCGCGGGGGCAACCCUGGCGGCGAGUGGCGAACGGGUGAGUAAUGCAUCGGAACGUAUCCUGUAAUGGGGGAUAACGUAGCGAAAGUUACGCUAAUACCGCAUACGCUCGAGAGAGGAAAGUGGGGGAUCGCAAGACCUCACGUUAUAGGAGCGGCCGAUGUCCGAUUAGCUAGUUGGUGGGGUAAAGGCCUACCAAGGCGACGAUCGGUAGCUGGUCUGAGAGGAUGAUCAGCCACACUGGGACUGAGACACGGCCCAGACUCCUACGGGAGGCAGCAGUGGGGAAUUUUGGACAAUGGGCGAAAGCCUGAUCCAGCCGCGCCGCGUGCGGGAAGAAGGCCUUCGGGUUGUAAACCGCUUUAGUCCGGGAAAAAGGGGUGCGAGGAUAAUACCCUUGUGCUUUGAUGGUACUGGAAGAAUAAGCACCGGCUAACUACGUGCCAGCAGCCGCGGUAAUACGUAGGGUGCGAGCGUUAAUCGGAAUUACUGGGCGUAAAGCGUGCGCAGGCGGUCUUGUAAGACAGUCGUGAAAGCCCCGGGCUUAACCUGGGAACUGCGAUUGUGACUGCAAGGCUAGAGUGUGUCAGAGGGGGGUGGAAUUCCACGUGUAGCAGUGAAAUGCGUAGAGAUGUGGAGGAACACCGAUGGCGAAGGCAGCCCCCUGGGAUAACACUGACGCUCAUGCACGAAAGCGUGGGGAGC